ensembl:lncRNA
AGAGCAUACAAAGUAUACAACAAUACCUGUCUUUUUCUUGAUGAACGCUGCCUCACAGGUGAGGAUGAGGAUGAUGUAGCAGUCACAGGGGCAGGUGAUGAACUUUUCCUCACAGGUGAGGAUGAGGAUGAUGUAGCAGUCACAGGAGCAGGUGAUGAACUUUUCCGCACAGGUGAGGAUGAGGAUGAUGUAGCAGUCACAGGGGCAGAUGAUGAAUGCUGCCUCACAGGUGAGGAUGAGGAUGAUGUAGCAGUCACAGGGGCAGGUGAUGAACGCUGCCUCACAGGUGAGGAUGAGGAUGAUGUAGCAGUCACAGGGGCAGGUGAUGAACGUUUCCUCACAGGUGAGGAUGAGGAUGAUGUAGCAGUCACAGGGGCAGGUGAUGAACGUUUCCUCACAGUCACAGGGGCAGAUGAUGAACGCUGCCUCACAGGUGAGGAUGAGGAUGAUGUAGCAGUAACAGGGGCAGGUGAUGAACUUUUCCUCACAGGUGAGGAUGAGAAUGAUGUAGCAGUAACAGGGGCAGGUGAUGAACUUUUCCUCACAGAUGAGGAUGAGAAUGAUGUAGCAGUAACAGGGGCAGGUGAUGAACUUUUCCUCACAGGUGAGGAUGAGGAUGAUGUAGCAGUAACAGGGGCAGGUGAUGAACGCUGCACAGAAGACCAAAGACACAAAAAAAAUACCACAGAUGUAAACAAAAAGUAAAUAUAAAUGCUUGCUUAAUUCAAAGUGCAUUGAUUUAGUUUAAGGGCAAGACAAAUGCAUUUGGAACAAAUAAUGUUUAAAACACAAAAGGGAGGAGAAAAUAAUGUAGAAUAAUCUUUUGAAACACUGAUAAUAAUUUUAAAUCUUUUAGUUACCAAACAACUAUACAAAGCUUUUGCAAAAAAAGCUUGAAAAGCUUGAAGAGUUCUAUGUACAGAACAUACAGAAAGACAGUCAGAUAUCAAUACGACAACAGAUUUGAGAAAUGAGAGUACCUUGGCUUGCCAAUCCCAGUCUCCAUAGCUGUAAGUAAUCUCUUCUCCUGGUUUAAUGUCUCGGACAGCAAAAAAAGACAAAGAUGUGGUUGCUGCAGAUAUCAAGGUUAUAUUUUCACACAAUGUUCUUUACAUUAUGUAAGAUGAUUUUAUGUAUUUAAAAAAAAAGAAAAAAAAAGUAUAUCAGAAAGAAAUGACUUUAGCUGAAUUUGUACAUGCGUGUUCACAUUUCAUACAUAAAUAUAUUUGGAUUCUGUGCAUCUAUGGUUUAAAUAUACAAUACAUAUAAAAUAUGUCCCCAAUUUUCCCACUAGGGAAUAUCUGCGAUAAUAAUAAGUGAUCCAACCAUUAAACAACGAAAAUUAAUUAUUUUAAUUACAGUCUAUUACAGCUAAUUAACAGAAUAUUAGAAUACUUUACAACACCAUAUUUUGUAGAUAAUCAUAAUUUAUACUUAAUCGUUUAUUGACAGGAUUAUAUUACACAACACGUGACCCGUGAGAAACCAUUAACUCAACUUGACUCAAGUCCUAUUAAUAUGUCAUCUGACCAAUUAUAUCUACUAUCACAAAUGAUAUCCAUAAAGAAACAAAUAUCUGUACAACAAAUCAUCAAAUGGCAAGAAAGAUGCCAUUUAUUUGGACAAGGAAACAAAUUCCUUAACAUAAUAGAUACUUAUCAACGAAAUUAAAAUCCUACUAAAAUUUACCUUUAAUAUUUUCAAUUUCGUUGUCAUAAAUUAUAGAUCAGAAGCUGUAUUUACAGUAACGUUAUAUGAUCACAACUCACCUCUGCUCUUUAAUCGCUGCGUAGGUCUUUCGCGGGAAAUUGAGGAUAAAUGAGGUGAUGUCAUCGGCACGUGUCAUCCGCCGACAUGUGUAUGUAAAUGACGUUGUGACGUUUUUGGAUUGCACGUUGAAGUUGUGCGUCCGCAGGGGGCAAGGAAGUCGACCGGAAGUUGAAGUCGGCCGCGUGCCGCCAUCUUGUAGCAGAACUUCACUUGCGUUAGCACCCCAUUGACUCCCAUUCAUUUUUGCGUCACUUUGACAGCGAAUAACUUUACAUCUGAGGCGUUUAAAGACUCCAUUUGUCCAUUAUUUAUUUCUAAAGAUACACGACAAUGUAUAAAGGGCUCCAUUACCUUCUAUGUUACAUUAUGGCCCCGUAGAAACAGUUUUUGUAAAAAUAGGCUAACGAUUGCGUCAUAACCACUCGACUCUCUGUCGCACAGUAGAGAAAUUACCGUACAGACAGGAGGAGAAGCUCGCAGGCAAUCGGGGAGACGUCAAGAGAUAUGGCGUACUGGCAUUAUAUUUUAAAAUACUAUACAAAAUAAUUAAUCAGAAUACUUACUCCUGCUCACUCACGCCAAAGAACUCCCCGCUCAAACUCGCCGUCUCUGCAAGAUUAACGAUGGCAGUUUGCACGCACAGCUACUAGAAGGUUUACAUCUGUCAGACAGGUUGCUGACGUCAUCAAGCUUAGUUUGAGUCUGCGCGUCAGAAACGGAAGUUCUAAAAAUCGCUAAAAACGGGCUUCACUUGUCUCAAUUGAGUUCCAAUGGGGUCGCUGUGUCCAUUUCUUUUACUGUCUAUGUGCGUCCGUCUAUUUGUAUUUAAAAUAAACAGCAGUAAAGCACUUACACCUCAUAAACACCUUUUCCUAUCAAUUAAUUACUUAACAAAGCUGUAAAGAGACGCCUAAAAUAUAAAGCAAAAAAAAAAUAAUAAUAAUUAUAAAAGCGAAUACAUCUUGUGUUGUGUUCUUCCAGCUGUAUUGCGCAGACCGAACGUCACGUGACAGACAAUUAUCGCGAGUGUUCCGAUUCAGUUGCUGGUUACAGAGAGAUCUCUUGUUAAAAGGCAGAGGUUUUCUUCUUAAAGCAGAAGUUCUAUUAUGAUUAACAUAUGUUUCCAUAUAGGUGGAGAAAUCCACGUGUAAAUUAAUUUAUGGCAUCAUAAACAUUUUAUGGUAAAACAAACCUCAUUAGGCUAUAAUACAAAUUAUAAAUUCUAACCAAUGUGGUUUGAACAUUAGUAAUUUCAAUCAUUUUAUUAUUACAAUUAAAUAAACUAACUUACCUUCUUAACAACACAUUUAAUUCUCACAGAUUGGUGGCAUUUGUUUUUUUAUGUGUAAUUAUGAUAUGCAAAAAUCUGUAAAAUCUAACUUUCACUCAGGUGCUUCAAGCAUAGACGCUCAUCUACAAGUAUAACUUUUCUCCCCAUAGAUUUUACAUCUAGAACAAUAAGAAUAGGAAAGGGAUAUUACAAAACAUUGUGUUAAAGGGUUCAUAUGUUGCUAAAAAAAGAACAUUAUUUUUGUGUAAUUGGUGUAAUGCAAUGUGUUUAUGCAGUUUAAGGUAAAAAAAACACAUUAUUUUCCAUAUAAAGUAUAUUAUUGUUUCUCCUCUAUGCCCCCUCUAUGGAAAUGUUACGCCCCUUAACAUACUGUGAUGCGUGUCCCAGCACGACGAGACAAAACCAAUAAAACCCAUUACAAACAAGGCAUUUGCUGCAUCCAGUGGGGACAUAACUACUGAUUAUAAUGACUUAUAAUGUCUUUUUUCAUGUUGCGUAUCGCGCUGCGUAAACAUAAAACCAUGUCUGCAUUUGUGAUCGGAGAAACAACAAACAACAAGUGCUACUCUACACUGCUUAAAACUCACGUUUGAAUCAUCAGUGGCACAGUCUUUAAAUAUGUAAACGUACUUACAGUCUGUGAGUCAGAAGCACCAGACUGUCCUUGCAAAGUUGGAACUGCCCCACUUUAUAGAAACAUACACCGGUAUUGUAGUCUAAUCUCACAGGAAACAGUCCUCUGUAAAAUACACUGCACACAUCUGAAUAUUAGGGUUGGACUGUUCUGGAACAGUGUUGUAAUUCAACUUAUCCACUGAUUUCUAGUUGUGUCCUCAUUUGGAAGACCAAACAAGGUUGCUUCUCUUUCACAAUGAAACACACAGCGACUCCACGAUAUGGUGCCGGCGGCAACAGAGAGAAUAAAAGUUAGACCUUCUUUCUUUGCGUGGGUGGCGUUAUGCAAAUCUUCCCACAUCGUGACGUAGACAUGUGGGGCGUGUUAGAACGAGGUAUUUUAGGAGGACGUGGUUGAGUCUUAACUAUUUCAUACUAUUCAUUAAUGAAUGUCUGCUUUUUAGGUAUACAGCAUUUAAUUUAGAACUGUGGCCAAAAGAAAUUAUGAAAACAAUAUUAUCACAAUAUCUAUGACAGUUAAAAAUAAUACUUCUGUCAGUCAAAUUAAUUUCAGAUUUGGUUUAUUUUGUGUUUUCUCACAUUCAGUGUACGAGUGUAGAGAGGCAGAGAGUUUGAUACUGUGGUCCUUCAGGUAAAAUGUUAAACAGGUAAUAAACCAUCAUCUACUAUGAUGACGUGUCAACCAGAUACUGCGACAAUUAUUUACAGUAUGUAUUUGUAGUAUUAUAUUAAUGAUCAAUUAUCAUGAUUUUGAUCCUUAAUUGCAUUCUCAAAAAGGAUUUAAAACAUAUGCAUGACCAAUAUUGUCUUGACCUUAACUGAUAUGUAGUGUUUUAAUUGGAAUAAAGCCAGCUUCCACUAUUAUUUCUUAAAUUAAGUCCUACUUAAAAUAUCGGAAACAAACAUAUUCCUUACAAAUUGUAUAAUAAACAAAAAGUUCUAAAAGUAUUACAAAUCAGCUGACACAUUCACAUUUGGUGUAGAAAUAAUGUUUUCUUGACUUGAUUAGAGUUCAUCCCAAAGCUGCUGAAGUGAAGUUAGAAGAGUUUGUGUCAGUGUCUCUCGCCCUUCCCCCACCUCAGCUGAUCACCCCUCCCCCACACAGCAGCACACACACUGUUGAGCUGUUU